rnacentral:lncRNA from 13 species
CAACUUACCAUUCCGAAGAGGUUCUUAGUCUCGCUAACUCCUCCGAAGAUUGGGGAAAGAGGUCCUGGAGGCGAGGUUACCAUUGCAAUAAAUAUCGUGGACCCAAAGAGUUUUGCAGAAAAGUGAUUUAUUAGAGAGAGAAGAAAGACAGCUCCUACGCUAUCAUUCCAGGAGACCUAGAGAAGGUAAGGAGCAGCUGAAUUUUAACCCUUGAGUUAUUCCUGCCCUUUCAUGUUCUUGUCCAAUGAGAGGAGUUCUUUCAACUGCCUCUGGAGUGAUUGAUCUUUGACUCUGACAUUGGAUUGGCUACUUGGUCCACGACUGAGAGUUACAGAGCCCCCUCCUCCCGGAGCUUUCCACGGGUUUCUUGGGACAAUAGAGCCCACCUGGCUUUCCCCAGCUAGCGGGCAAGUGGAGAAACCCAGACAAAGAACUUUACAUUUGAAACCCCUCUGCUUCCUAGAUGAAGACGUGGAGGCUGGGAAACUCCUGCCUUUGAAACCAAGCCUCUUGGACCCAGGAAGAGUCUGGUUCCCGGAUGGAGGCAUGGAGCCAUGGAGAAGUCCCUAUGACAAAGAUGAAGACCUUUAUGAUGAUUCGUUACCACUUAAUGAACGAAAUUAACAAGUUGAUCCUCAAGAAAAUGUGAAGUAACAAGAGACUCCAAAAAAUCAAAACAAUAUUGAUAAAGAACAAAGAGAACAUACAUAUCCUGAUUUCAAAACGUACUGUAAGACUUCUGUAAUAAAGUCAGUGUGGUACUGGCA